ACUGUAAGAAAAUGCCAUGAACAAGUUUUAGAAAAUAUGCAAGGCAGCAGUGAAUUUUCUGAGUAGGUCUGGAAGUGAUUUGUAAGAGGAGCGAGGAUGCAAUACUUGGCAUCUGGACGUUCUAACGAAUUUUCCCAAAUAAGAAAAGAAAAAUGUUUCCUCAUAGACUGCAAGCUUUUCACAGCAUCAGUAAAGCUCCUGACACAGAGCCCAACGCUGUAUUUGUAUGACAUGGAAAUUAACAGCAGCAGCAGCACUGCAGGCUUAGAGUCUACUCUGCGUGCAACAAAAUGGCUAGGGGUGCUGUCGCGUUCAUCUGAAUUCCUUCACCGUUUGUGGGUGGUAGAAUAGGUGGAUGCCGAUAUCCCUGCCACGUCAGGUACAGCUGCAAACUUUAACAUUGGUAUUAAAUUAACGUUUCUAACCAUCUUCUAGCCUGUGUCCUGAUCAGCUCAACUCCACAGAGCAGAGACAGGAACGAGCAGCAAAAACGGACUGCGUCACAGAUGUAACAUGACCAUCGGCAAAACAAGUGCAGAAAGAUAUCAUGGCUGUCUCAUCGUUCCGACAGCUUUCUUUCAGUAUCGCAGAAGAAUAAGCUGGGACCACCGCUGUUGCUGCUAUUCCCGUUGUUCCCCUGCUCUGCGGAACUGGCGCUGCAGGAGGCGAGGAUGCUCCAAGGGAGCCAGCUACAGCCAGCGAGGGCUCUGAGUCAGUAGGGGUUGUGACGACUGCAGCAAGAGCCUGAAACUCCCCACGGAAUCUGGCAGGAAAGGAGGGGAGGCAAGGAAGACCUUGCGGAGCCCCGGCUCGGGGCUGCCGGCAGCGCUCCCUCGCCUCGCCCACACCGACAAACUCUCACCCGGGCGGCAUGACGGCGUUCGGGCAGGAGCCUCUUCCGCUUCAUUAAUCCCACCACGCGAUUGCCACAUUCGGUCCCUGCCCCGAGCGGCUCACAGCGUGACCAACACUCAACUACCACCGACAGAAGAGAGAAAGCAGGAGAGAAAGGAGGAAAAAAAAAGCCCCAAACCCGAGCGAGUUCCCCUGGCUGAGCUUGGCAGCUCUGACACGUCAUCGCCACAGCCGCGCAGCAAAGUGAAACCGCACCGGCACGGGGUGACACAGGUCGUGUGGGCGGGCAGGGCUCCAUGCCCGGCCCCAUACCUGCACUCAUACCCGCACCUAUACCUGCACCUGGACCUAUACCCGCACCCGUACCCACACCUAUACCUGCACCUAUACCUGCACCUGGACCUAUACCCGCACCCGCACCUAUACCUGCACCCAUACCCGCACCUGUACCCGCACCUAUACCCGCACCUAUACCAGUGCCCAUACC